ACGUAGGUGGCAAGCGUUGUCCGGAUUUACUGGGCGUAAAGGGAGUGUAGGCGGAUACUUAAGUCAGAUGUGAAAUACCCGGGCUCAACUUGGGUGCUGCAUUUGAAACUGGGUAUCUAGAGUGCAGGAGAGGAAAGUGGAAUUCCUAGUGUAGCGGUGAAAUGCGUAGAGAUUAGGAAGAACACCAGUGGCGAAGGCGACUUUCUGGACUGUAACUGACGCUGAGGCUCGAAAGCGUGGGGAGCAAACAG
rnacentral:rRNA from 1 species